CCAGGAAUUACUAAACAUGAUAAAGAACCAAUUUGAAACCCAAGUUAAAAUGAAAGGAGAGCCCGUGCCAAAAGGAGAGAGGCCCAAUAAUGAUGGAGAAACGGUGGGGAGAGUGACGCUACGAUCGGUGAAGCAAUCAAGAGAACCAGAGUUGCAACAUCUUUGAAGAGAGGGAGGGGUUAGAGUGUCGGAAGCUUUGGAUCCUAUUUCUAAUUUGGAGACCUGAAGGUGUUGAAAAGAAGCCGCUGAUUUCUCUCCCUCCAGAUCCAAGACAACACCGACUUCCAUGCAAGCGGAGUAAGGAGCUUUGACGAUUUUGGUGGUGGAAGAUUGAUCAUCUAAUUGAGAAGAUCUGACCAGUUACAGAGCGGUUGGAGCCGACACUUAGCAGCUACGAGCGACCAAAGAGCAAAGCUAAAAGGGCACUCCAAAUAUAAGUGGUUUCAAAGAAGGCAGAGAUGGCUGACUUGAAGUCCCCAACUGAUAAGACGGUCACGGGUUGGAUUACGAUCAAGCACAACCAACCAAGAAUGAAACGACUGCCUCGGAAUGCUUUUUGAUGACCAAACAGCCGGCGCCCAGUUGACUGUAUCUAUGUUCCCUCGGAGGUAGUGUGAUAUACCUUCCAUGUCUCGAAUUUCUGCAUUAUCUUCCCUUCCAUCUCCCAGAGGAGGAAGUCUCCAAGCUCCAUUCCUAUAUAACGAGGCGACCGUUGCAUUCGCGGGGAUUCCAAACCUAGAAUUGGAAGCAUGGAGAUAAUCAUGAAGGCAGCCAAACGGGCUCCAAUUGUCAUACCAGAAUCUAGCAGUGGCUCCAUUCUGUAAUUGAAGGCGGAUCAGAGGGAUACCCAGACAGAGUCAGGCCGAAAGAAGAUCAUCCAUAUUAACCGCAAGCAACAUGACUUGUUCCAAGUUAGCCGGUCUUUCACUCCAAGUCCACCUUGUUCUUUCGUUAAGGCCUUAGGGAGGAGAAAGAGGAGCACCAAAACUGAUAGGGACUUAACUGACCAUGAGUUUAACUUUAAUUUCACUUGUUGCAGCAAUGUAUCACAGCCAGCUAAAGAAAGCUUCCUUGAGUUAAGUGGAACACCAAGAUACCGAAAGGGACGUUUACAAUAUACGGAAUAUUAACGAAGUUGAGCGAGGAACAAGUGAGAAAGCUAUGGAUUAGGAAUUGAGUAUUCUUACUGAUGGAAUAUUGCCUGAGAAAAUUGAUGAGAAAUAUUUCAAAAACUAACAACGAGAGCUGAAAUUAUAUCUGACUCAUUUUAAGUUAGAUAACUACCUAAGUGAGGAUAUAGACCAGUUAUUUAUGUUGGAAAUAUUGAUUUAUUCAUUUUAGCAAGUGUUGACGCCAAGAUCAAUGGUGAUUAUAUGUGUAAGGAAUUGGUAUUAG